AUGAAGGACGUGCUAAUCUGCGAAAAGCGCCGGCGAGGUGAUAUGAACCUUUGACCCGGCGAUGUCCGAAUGGGGAAACCCAGUGUGAUUCGUCACACUAUCGUUAACUGAAUACAUAGGUUAACGAGGCGAACCGGGGGAACUGAAACAUCUAAGUACCCCGAGGAAAAGAAAUCAACCGAGAUUCCCCCAGUAGCGGCGAGCGAACGGGGAGCAGCCCAGAGUCUGAAUCAGCUUGUGUGUUAGUGGAAGCGUCUGGAAAGUCGCACGGUACAGGGUGACAGUCCCGUACACGAAAAYRCACAGGUUGUGAACUCGAAGAGUAGGGCGGGACACGUGGUAUCCUGUCUGAAUAUGGGGGGACCAUCCUCCAAGGCUAAAUACUCCUGACUGACCGAUAGUGAACCAGUACCGUGAGGGAAAGGCGAAAAGAACCCCGGCGAGGGGAGUGAAAAAGAACCUGAAACCGUGUACGUACAAGCAGUGGGAGCACCYUMGUGGUGUGACUGCGUACCUUUUGUAUAAUGGGUCAGCGACUUAUAUUCUGUAGCAAGGUUAACCGUAUAGGGGAGCCGAAGGGAAACCGAGUCUUAACUGGGCGUUAAGUUGCAGGGUAUAGACCCGAAACCCGGUGAUCUAGCCAUGGGCAGGUUGAAGGUUGGGUAACACUAACUGGAGGACCGAACCGACUAAUGUUGAAAAAUUAGCGGAUGACUUGUGGCUGGGGGUGAAAGGCCAAUCAAACCGGGAGAUAGCUGGUUCUCCCCGAAAGCUAUUUAGGUAGCGCCUCGUGAACUCAUCUUCGGGGGUAGAGCACUGUUUCGGCUAGGGGGCCAUCCCGGCUUACCAACCCGAUGCAAACUACGAAUACCGAAGAAUGUUAUCACGGGAGACACACGGCGGGUGCUAACGUCCGUCGUGAAGAGGGAAACAACCCAGACCGCCAGCUAAGGUCCCAAAGUCAUGGUUAAGUGGGAAACGAUGUGGGAAGGCACAGACAGCCAGGAUGUUGGCUUAGAAGCAGCCAUCAUUUAAAGAAAGCGUAAUAGCUCACUGGUCGAGUCGGCCUGCGCGGAAGAUGUAACGGGGCUAAACCAUGCACCGAAGCUGCGGCAGCGACRCUUAUGYGUUGUUGGGUAGGGGAGCGUUCUGUAAGCCGUUGAAGGUGUGCUGUGAGGCAUGCUGGAGGUAUCAGAAGUGCGAAUGCUGACAUAAGUAACGAUAAAGCGGGUGAAAAGCCCGCUCGCCGGAAGACCAAGGGUUCCUGUCCAACGUUAAUCGGGGCAGGGUGAGUCGACCCCUAAGGCGAGGCCGAAAGGCGUAGUCGAUGGGAAACAGGUUAAUAUUCCUGUACUUGGUGUUACUGCGAAGGGGGGACGGAGAAGGCUAUGUUAGCCGGGCGACGGUUGUCCCGGUUUAAGCAUGUAGGCGGAGGUUCCAGGUAAAUCCGGUACCUUUUAACGCUGAGGUGUGAUGACGAGGCACUACGGUGCUGAAGUAACAAAUGCCCUGCUUCCAGGAAAAGCCUCUAAGCAUCAGGUAACAYSAAAUCGUACCCCAAACCGACACAGGUGGUCAGGUAGAGAAUACCAAGGCGCUUGAGAGAACUCGGGUGAAGGAACUAGGCAAAAUGGUGCCGUAACUUCGGGAGAAGGCACGCUGAUAUGUAGGUGAAGCCCCUGCGGGUGGAGCUGAAAUCAGUCGAAGAUACCAGCUGGCUGCAACUGUUUAUUAAAAACACAGCACUGUGCAAACACGAAAGUGGACGUAUACGGUGUGACGCCUGCCCGGUGCCGGAAGGUUAAUUGAUGGGGUUAGCGGYAACGCGAAGCUCUUGAUCGAAGCCCCGGUAAACGGCGGCCGUAACUAUAACGGUCCUAAGGUAGCGAAAUUCCUUGUCGGGUAAGUUCCGACCUGCACGAAUGGCGUAAUGAUGGCCAGGCUGUCUCCACCCGAGACUCAGUGAAAUUGAACUCGCUGUGAAGAUGCAGUGUACCCGCGGCAAGACGGAAAGACCCCGUGAACCUUUACUAUAGCUUGACACUGAACACUGGUCCUUGAUGUGUAGGAUAGGUGGGAGGCUUUGAAGYGUGGACGCCAGUCUGCRUGGAGCCGUCCUUGAAAUACCACCCUUUAAUGGCUGGUGUUCUAACGUAGACCCGURAUCCGGGUUGCGGACAGUGUCUGGUGGGUAGUUUGACUGGGGCGGUCUCCUCCCAAAGAGUAACGGAGGAGCACGAAGGUUAGCUAAUCCUGGUCGGACAUCAGGAGGUUAGUGCAAUGGCAUAAGCUAGCUUGACUGCGAGAGUGACGGCUCGAGCAGGUGCGAAAGCAGGUCAUAGUGAUCCGGUGGUUCUGAAUGGAAGGGCCAUCGCUCAACGGAUAAAAGGUACUCCGGGGAUAACAGGCUGAUACCGCCCAAGAGUUCAUAUCGACGGCGGUGUUUGGCACCUCGAUGUCGGCUCAUCACAUCCUGGGGCUGAAGUAGGUCCCAAGGGUAUGGCUGUUCGCCAUUUAAAGUGGUACGCGAGCUGGGUUUAGAACGUCGUGAGACAGUUCGGUCCCUAUCUGCCGUGGGCGCUGGAGAAUUGAGGGGGGCUGCUCCUAGUACGAGAGGACCGGAGUGGACGCAUCACUGGUGUUCGGGUUGUCAUGCCAAUGGCACUGCCCGGUAGCUAAAUGCGGAAAAGAUAAGUGCUGAAAGCAUCUAAGCACGAAACUUGCCCCGAGAUGAGUUCUCCCUGAGACUUUAAGUCUCCUGAAGGAACGUU
rnacentral:rRNA from 1 species